rnacentral:rRNA from 1 species
UUAGCCUACGGGACGCAGCAGUGAGGAAUAUUGGUCAAUGGGAGAGAUCCUGAACCAGCCAAGCCGCGUGAGGGAAGACGGCCCUAUGGGUUGUAAACCUCUUUUGUCGGAGAACAAAACCCGGGACGUGUCCCGGACUGCGUGUAUCCGAAGAAAAAGCAUCGGCUAACUCCGUGCCAGCAGCCGCGGUAAUACGGAGGAUGCGAGCGUUAUCCGGAUUUUUUUGGUUUAAAGGGUGCGUAGGCGGUCCUUUAAGUCAGCGGUAAAAUUGCGGGGCUCAACCCUGUCGAGCCGUUGAAACUGGG